rnacentral:rRNA from 1 species
CACGUAGGGCGCAAGCGUUGUCCGGAAUUAUUGGGCGUAAAGAGCUUGUAGGCGGUCUGUUGCGUCCGCUGUGAAAACUCGGGGCUUAACCCCGAGCCUGCAGUGGAUACGGGCAGACUAGAGGUAGGUAGGGGAGAAUGGAAUUCCCGGUGUAGCGGUGAAAUGCGCAGAUAUCGGGAGGAACACCGGUGGCGAAGGCGGUUCUCUGGGCCUUACCUGACGCUGAGGAGCGAAAGCGUGGGGAGCGAACAGG